rnacentral:rRNA from 1 species
UACGGAGGGUGCGAGCGUUGUCCGGAAUCACUGGGCGUAAAGGGCGCGCAGGCGGCACGUCAAGUACCUCGUGAAAUCUCCCUGCUCAACGGGGAGGGAGCGAAGUAGACUGGCGAGCUAGAGGACGGUAGAGGGGGGUAGAACUGCUGGUGUAGCGGUGAAAUGCGUAGAGAUCAGCAGGAAUACCCGUGGCGAAGGCGGCUCUCUGGGACGGUACUGACGCUGAGACGCGAAAGCGUGGGGAGCGAACAGG